CAAAAUAUAGUUUAAAUUAAAAUUCUAAUUUUGGGAAUUAGUAAUACUAAAAGUUAGUUAUUUUGA
rnacentral:tRNA from 2 species